rnacentral:rRNA from 1 species
ACCCGUCGAUCCAGCCAUGCCGCGUGUGUGAAGAAGGCCUUCGGGUUGUAAAGCACUUUCGGCCGGAACGAAAUCGCACGGGUGAAUAUCCCGUGUGGAUGACGGUACCGGAAGAAGAAGCACCGGCUAACUACGUGCCAGCAGCCGCGGUAAUACGAAGGGGGCGUAGCGUUGUUUCGGAUUUACUGGGCGUAAAGCGCGCGUAGGCGGAUCACUAAGUCAGGGUGAAAUCCCGAGGCUUAACCUCGGAACUGCCUUUGAUACUGGAGAUCUGGAGAUCGGGAGAGGUUGGUGGAAUUCCGAGUGUAGAGGUGAAAUUCGUAGAUAUUUCGGAGGAACACCAGAAGCGAAGGCGGCCAACUGGCCCGAUACUGACGCUGAGGCGCGAAAGCGUGGGGAGCAAACA